rnacentral:rRNA from 1 species
GUCUAUGGCCAUGCCACCCUGAACAAGCCCCAUCCCGUCUGAUCUCGGAAGCUAAGCAGGAUCAGGCCUAGUUAGUACUUGGAUGGGAGACCACCUAGGAAGACCAGGUGCUGUAGGUG